GUGAAGUUCACAAGAGGACGAAGCUUCGGAGGAGAAACAAAUUUUAACAAAAAUUUCCUGUUUAAAAGUUUAUUUUUGGCAUUUCACAACUUCAGAACAAAGUCGUUUAUGGUUGUAGAGAUUUGACUCGGAAGAUUAUUCAGAAGUCAAAGGAAGACUGCUCCAAAAAUCGUUUGUAAGAACAAAACAAAGACGACGGCCAUCUUUGUUUGGAUUUCAACUCUAGGAAAUAAAUUUUAGAGGGCCAGGUUUCACAAGGUUUGUUUGAAGAAAAGUAUUAUGACUUGGUCAGGCAACAUGAAACACAGAGAAGGCAGACAGCAUUACAAAAGACAGCGCUAUAACAGUAAUAGCAGCUCAAGGGGCACGCCAUCGCCCAAGUUACUUGAGGACAGGUGUAGUCCAGUUCAGGGCACAGAGUUACCCCAUCGACUUACGCUCGCACAGAGAAUCUCCCCACCUCCACGUCUUGCAGACACUUGUCUGUCCCGAUCUCCAUCACCUCAAGAAAAUGCUUAUGCAGGGGCAAAGUUUAGCGACCCACCCUCACCGGAGUUGUUACCAAAGCCCCCAUCUCAUUGGAUGACAUUUGGACAAAGUGAACCAGGGAGCUGCAACGACAUGGCUAGUCAGUUGAAGUCGCUGUUGAAAGUUGCUGCCCAGGCAUAGCCUACCAGGAUGUUGUAUUAGAUCAUUCCAGUCAUAUCAUUGAUCAGUUUUGUACAACAUUGCUCAUGGAUCAGUAUUACGGCAUUAUCAUUACAGAUUUCAUGAGUUCUGUUUUGCAUUUUUCGCAAUCAUGUUCAUUAUCUUAGUUUGAGUCAUUGUCAGUGUUUGUUGUUAAACUGGAUAUUUUUCUAUCUUUCCAUGCAGCUUUAAGGUGAUUGUUGGAACAAAUAUGAGCACCACUUAAACUUACUUCAAAUCAUUCUUUUGGUAUGUCAAAGCGUGACGUAUUGUCUCGCAGUUAGCUAUAUUCUAAUCUUUUCAUGUGCAUUUGUCUGCUCAGCUGGAUCAGUGGAGCAUUUUUCACGGAACAUCUCAAUGGGAUUUAGACAUGUAGUGUGGUGAACUUUUGGCAGAGAUCAUUCUAUUCACCUUUCAAUACUUUUGGCACAUUUCUGGCUGAGGGUCGGGGGAGGUGGGGGGUGGGGUUUCUACAAACUUCAAUUUGCAAUAAAAAUUAAGCUGAUCCAAAUCUUUUAGUUGUGGGACAAUUGCAUAUGUAUCUUCAGAAAUGUUUCUCCAGACAUGUAGAAAGUACGUUCAGAUGUUUAAGCAGAGAGAAUGGGGGGAUAAAUAUAUAUAUAUAUAUAUAUAUAUAUAUAAAAAGUUUUGUGCCCAUUUUUGUUCUGACUCUAUUUUUAACCUUUUUUUAAUACAUUCACUUCUAAAAUGUCUUACUGGGAUCUUAGGAUGAAAACCAAAACCUUGAAUUUUAACUGUACAUAAAUUUAAAGGGUUAUACGAGUUGGUACUCUGUUGCUGUGCUGUUUACACCGACACUAUAGUGCAAUAUGUUUGUACAAAGUAAUGCCAAAUAUUUGUAUAUACGAAUAUUUUUAUGUUUAUUUUUUUUUAAACUGUUUUAUCUGAAACUCUGUUUUCUUUUAAGGCAUGGUGCAUUUAUUAAUAUAUAAAUACGCACAGCGGUUAGAUAGUUAGUAUUAUGUAGACAGAAAGUUAAUUGUUAAGCUGUAAGUUACAAGAAAGACGCCAAGUUAACAUGUCUAAUGUUAGUUAUGAAGUGUUCUUUAAUAGAACAGAAAUGCUGAACAUUGAUUAAUGUGUUAUGUGAAAGAGAUUCAGAAUUUAGUAUAAACUAUAUAGCUAAAUUUAGAUCCAGAAGAAAACGAGAUACUUUUGUUAAAAAGUUGAAGAUGCAUUGAAGUUUAAAAGGAAUGAUGCAUUUUGUGGGAAUACCUACGUCUUGUAUAAGAGUUGAAAGGUCUACUGCAAGAGGUGAAAUUAUAAGUGUCAGAAAUAAAUUCCAUUAUAAGAAACUGACUGAGAAUUGAAGAGAAAGCUUAUGUGAAUAGAUUAAAAAUUCUAGUAUAUUGCUGAAAAGUGUUAGCAUUGAAGGUUCCGAGUGUAAGAACUGACACUGUGUCUUUCUCUUUUUUUAUCAAAUGCUUGAAAAAUGUUAGUGUGCUAGAUAAAUUUUGUUAUACAUUACAGAUAUCUGUGUUUUCUAAAAGCUAUUUUACUAUUAAUUUUUUUUGUUUUUUUUUUUUUUGGAAGAAAUUUCUAUAUCAAAAUAGAUUAUUUGAUUUUUUUUGAUUUUGGUAAUCUUUGGACAUAUUAAAGAGAGAAAAAUUAACAGAUAAAAUUUUAACAGUAUUGGCAGUGAUAUGUAAAAAAACAACAAUUUGUGCUUUUAGAGACUAUUUACAAAUAUAUAUUAUAUACUACACAACUUAUCCAGGAAUUUUGGUGUUUUCUGUUAGGACUACAAACGAAAACAUUUUUUUAUAGAAUACACAAUUUUGUGCAAACAAUUCAGAAUUUUCUUUAAUAUAAACAUGUUUUGAUAUUUAACUUGCUAAAAAGCUGAAAAUUCCUGGAUGGUCGUGACAAACUGAAGUUAUGAAAUAUUUUAAUCAAAAUAUAUUUUGUUUAAAAUUGAGAUGCAACUGACGUCAUGUAUUUAAAUCAGUGAAUGAAUUAUCAGUUAAACAGAGGAACCCUUUCUAUGCUUUAAUGGGUUUAUUCAUUAUGUUUAUACAUAAACAUUGCAUUUGGUAGCUAAACUCGAGGCUCUUAUCAAAAUCUUUAUGUAGAUUUUUCACAAUUUUUUGUGCAAAAUUCAAUUUUUUUUGUGGGGAUGGGCAUUAAAAGAAGUGGUUAAUGAAUUUAUAUACAUUUUUAUUCUACAUUGAGAAAUUACAGCCUUGUUUGUUGCCAAGAUCAUAACUUCAGUUUCUUGUUUUGUGCUCUAAAAUUGUGAUAUGUACUUUACUAAACAUAUGGCAGUUAUAGAAAAGUUCUUUGUUUUUGCAUGUUUUAAGUGUAAAAUAUCUUUUCGGGUAAUAUUUGUGCUGUUACAUGAACUAUUUACUACACACCCUUAGUAUUGUCGAGAGAGAGAGAAAAAAGUACGUUUAAGUUUUGGACAACUUGUUACUUAAGAAAAAUUGUGUAUAUUUUUAAGUUACCACACCAUUGGUAUUUAAAAUAAGUUGUACAUAAAAUUGUUAUUCUAAAAAGUGAAAGUAAGUAACAUUGAAAAAUCAGCUGUGUAUAGAUGACAGAACACAUCACUGUGAUUUAUGUUAAAUUAUAGGGCAGUCACUACAAGUCGUGCGUCGUGUCUCUAAAAGAGAUUAUACAUCAACAGACUGUACCAAUUGUGUUCAUCAUUUGUGCAUUCAAACUGUUUAUGUUACAUAUUAUGUCCGUUUAUACACCAAGCGUGUGCAUUCAGGGAUUAACCAAUCAGAUCAUCUUACAGAGACCAUAGUUUUUCAUCAGGGAUUUUAAAUGGGAAAUUACUUUCUCAGAGACAGCAGUAAGGCGGAUGUCAAACAUCCAACUCUGCAAAUAAACAGAAGGCUUGUAGACCUUCAAUAAGUGAUGAAAACAAAUGAAGAUAUCACAUGGACGAAUGGAGAUCAGAGCCUCUCAACUUACGGAAACGGCUCCACGUAUUGAAAUGAUCUCGGACAGAAUGUAAAAUUUUUAAAUGAAGGUGCAACUAAGGACAGAAAUUGGACGGUUUUUAAAUGUAGAUAAUCUACAAAAUAUAUGUGGUAUUGGAUGAGUUGACCAAGAUACUGAUCUCAAGAACAGUAAAUUAUACUGUGAUUACUAAAUGACAAGCCUUGAAGCUUGCCACAAACUGUGCUACUUCAUAAACAAGUGUGCAACAAGAGAGUAUGCUAAAAACUCUCACCUUUGACCAAGGUCUCAACGAUCUGAUUUUUCAGACAAGAUGUACUGUUAUUAACUUUGUGCGAGAAUACUUGUGAUAAAACAGAGUUUCAUAUAUUUUCAAAAUUUGAACUAUGUACAGACUUGUGAACGAUGCAGCUAUAGAGUACCAACAUCACCAAUCCUGGUAUCAUCACAACAUCCCAGUGUUCCUGUCGUCGACUUCUCCGACAUCAUCUUCUUUCCAGACAACUUCUCUUCUUUCUUUUCUAUCGGGUCCCCUCCAGGAUCCACAAGUGCCUCGAGAGAGGUGCCUCUCAGAAUAUUGUCAAACAACACUGGCUUGCCAGUGUGAUCUGUGUUCAGUGUUUCAUGUUUG